rnacentral:rRNA from 1 species
UCCAGUUUAUCCUGCUGGAGGUUGCGGCUAUUUGGUUCGAGAUAAGGCAUGCAAGUCUGACGAUAAGUCGGCGUACUGCUCAGCAACACGUAGUUAAUCUGCCCUUAAGUCAUGGAUACCCACGGGAAACUGAGAUUAAUACAUGAUAGAAGUUUCUCUCUGGAAAGAAGAUACUUUCAAAUUCGCGCUUAAGGAUGAGACAGCGGCUGAUUAGCUAGUUGGCGGGGUAAAGGCCCACCAAGGCAAUGAUCAGUAAGGGCUCUUAGCGGAGUCGCCCUGAGAGGAAAUCUGAGACACUAUUUCCAGCUCUACGGAGUGCAGCAGCUAUGAAUCUUCUGCAAUGCGCGCAAGCGUGACAGAGCGAGCCAAAGUGUUUAUCUUUUUGAUAAUCUUUUGCCAGCUGUAAAAAGGCUGGCGAAUAAGGACUGGGUAAGAUCGGUGCCAGCCGCCGCGGUAAUCCCGACAGUCCAAGUCGCAACCAACAUUAUUGGGUCUAAAACAUCCGUAGCUUGCUUGAUAAGUCUUUUGUCAAAUCCUGCAUCUCAAGUGUAGGGCGAGCAGAAGGUACUAUUGAGCUAGAGACCGGUAGGUGAAAGAAGUACGCUUAAGGUAGUAGUAAAAUACGUUAAUCUUAAGUGGACUCACAAUUAGCGAAGGCAUCUUACAAAGACGGAUCUGACAGUGAGGGAUGAAGGCCAAGGGCGCAAAAGGGAUUAGAUACCCCUGUAGUCUUGGCAGUAAACACUGCUCACUAAACAUCGGGGCCUCUUCGGGAGGUUUCGGUGCUGUAGGGAAGCUGCAAAGUGAGCUACCUGGGAAGUAUAGUCGCAAGAUCGAAACUUAAAGGAACAGGCGGGGAGACACUACAACGAGUGACGCGUGCGGUUCAAUUAGAUUCUACACCGUGAACCUCACCAGGAGCGACAGCAGGAUGAAGGUCAGUCUGAAGGGCUUACCUGACACGCUGAGCGGAGAUGCAUGGCCGACGUCAGCCUGUGCAGUGAUGUGACCUGUUAAAUCAGGUAACAGGCGAGACCCGUGUGCAUAAUUACUAUCGAAAGAAGAACAUUAUGCAGACUGCCUUGGUAACAAGGAGGAAGGUACGGGCUACGUUAGGUGAGUACGUCCCUAAUCCCCUGGGCUACACGCGCGCGGCAAUGGCAGAUUCAAUGGGCUGCGACACCGAAAGGUGAAGCUAAUCCCCUAGCAUCUGUCUCAGUCCAGAUUGAGGGUUGCAACCCACCCUCAUGACGCCGGAAUUCGUAGUAAUCGUUUGUUAGCAGCGAACGGUGAAUAUGUCCCUGUCUCUUGCACUCACCGCCCGUCAAACCAACCGAGUUUUGCAGAGUUGAAGUCUGUAUAGAAAGAAAUUUUGUAAGACAAGGUAGGUUAAGUCGUCACAAGGU